UGGGUGGUAAUGCCGGAUGUGCCGGGCUCCUGCAUGGGGGUCCGGGAAAGCUCUGGCGGCGUGGGAUGGGGUCGCGUCCUAUCAGCUUGUUGGCGGGGUGAGGGCCCACCAAGGCUUCGACGGGUAGCCGGCCUGAGAGGGCGACCGGCCACAUUGGGACUGAGAUACGGCCCAGACUCCUACGGGAGGCAGCAGUGGGGAAUAUUGCACAAUGGGCGCAAGCCUGAUGCAGCGACGCCGCGUGCGGGAUGGAGGCCUUCGGGUUGUAAACCG
rnacentral:rRNA from 1 species